AGUAGGUUAAACAUCUCAAAAACAUUACUCUGUGCCAUUUUAUUUCGGCUACAAGAUAUAAGCUUGGGCCUAGGCUACUCAUUUAAUUGGUUUUAUGUAGGCUAAUACCUGUAGCCUACUGAAGUGUAAGGGUAGAAAGUACGUAAACACAUAAGACCAAUUAACAUGAUCUCAAACGAAAUGAUCGCCAUACCUUCGCGAAACUGUAAUGCAAUCCAACGGAGGAAAUACAGUGAACAUUAUAAAUCUCAACUGUUAAUGAAAAUCAACAAAGGACUGUGUAGGCGUUUCCUGUCGCGCUUGAAAAUCCUUACAAACUUGUCCAAAAAUCUAAGUGAAAUUAUUUAUAUUUCAUUAUGACAAUACAGGUAGCGUUUUAAACGUACGGUUAUCCUUUCUCAUCCUCUCAUAUAUGGAAAUGUAAUAUUUGCAGGUGAGUUGUUAUAAUGUGGAUGAUUUUGGAUGAUUAUACUACCUUAAUUUUUUCCCGACCAAGCCCGGGCAGGUGGAUUUGGGGGUGCGCCCUAGCUUGGUUACGUCACAUUGUCAGUCAUUUCUGGCGAUAUAAAGAUCCUUCUGAAGGGUAGCCGCCUGAUCAGAACGCAGAAUCGUGUGGUGGGACCAGUCUACAAAGCAAGAUUUGGGCCAAAUAUAUCCAUCAAAAUGACUAAAAUGACUGCUGCUUACCUUGGAGUGCUUGUGCUAGUCACAUGUUUUUCAACACUGGUCCGCUCUAAUGCGACUAUGGCAACCCCAGCCGCUAACCACACCGUCACCAUGGCCCACAACUCUACUAUGAUGCUGACCAGCGCUUACACCGAGGCAAAUAACUUCACCACUCCAAGCGGGGCUGUGUCCUUCACGCGGAGUGGCCCUUUCUCCAUACUUCUCCCCGUUGCCAUGGCAGCCUCUCUAGUGUGCAGCCGCUCCUGAAAAAAAAAAAAAAAAACCCCAAGCGCUCAGUAAUCAACCAAGACUGUAACAUCCAGCGGCCAACAUGAAGAGACGGCCAUCCAAAGAGAAGUCAUUUUAUUUCUUUUCCUCUUCGCCACCCCCCCCCUCACCUGCCCCCCAUUCCUUUGAAAAUCCUUAAAGGCGAUCAUUUUACCCAACACGAGGAGGGAGGUGGAGUUUGCAAUCGGGACGGAAGCGAGGAAACGAAGAAACCUGAGCAGACGGGAACGUUCUCUCUCUCUCUCUCUCCCGUGGAUGUUCGUCUCCCUGCGGGUGUCUUGACCAAGAUGAUCUACUUUGCGGCCGGCCAGCCACGCCACAAAUAUCGAGACCCACCCUCCAUUUGGCAUUGCCAUUGGAGUCCAGGACAGAAACGGGAUGCUUUUCUCCCUCUUCUCCCCCACCCCCUCUUUGAAAGGCCACUGAUUUGUGUAGUUUAUUGUACUGGUUGGAAUCGUUCUUGAAUGUUUAAAUUCACAAGUGCCCAGGAAAUCAACACAGUAAUGCGCGAUGUUGAUUGAGGCCUGUUUGUAUCAUAUUUUCAAGCCAUCGUUUUAAUUGGCGAUUCAGUUGAGUUGGGCUUUGAGCUUCUUUUUUUUUUUUUUUUUUGGUAAUGUUUAAAUUUUCAUUCCCACGGCCAUAUCCACAAUGGCCCCUGCACUUUGGCCAGAAAUGUAAGUUAUUCAACUAUUUUAUGGUAUUUUAAAAUUUGUAAAGCUCUGGCAUCUUUCCUUUUUCUAUGGCCCGAGUUGAUUGUUCAGACUAGUUUAAUUCACAGAAUUCAGCUUUUGCACGUAGUCUUUUUUUUUUUUUUUUUUUUUUUUUUUGUAUAAAUGUUUAAUUGUUAUGUACUUUUAGUUCAGGGAAUAAUCUCACUUAAUACACAAUAAAUUAAAGAUUAAUCGUU